rnacentral:rRNA from 1 species
GAUGAACGCUGGCGGCGUGCCUAAUACAUGCAAGUCGAGCGAACAGACGAGGAGCUUGCUCCUCUGACGUUAGCGGCGGACGGGUGAGUAACACGUGGAGAACCUACCUAUAAGACUGGGAUAACUUCGGGAAACCGGAGCUAAUACCGGAUAAUAUAUUGAACCGCAUGGUUCAAUAGUGAAAGACGGUUUUGCUGUCACUUAUAGAUGGAUCCGCGCCGCAUUAGCUAGUUGGUAAGGUAACGGCUUACCAAGGCAACGAUGCGUAGCCGACCUGAGAGGGUGAUCGGCCACACUGGAACUGAGACACGGUCCAGACUCCUACGGGAGGCAGCAGUAGGGAAUCUUCCGCAAUGGGCGAAAGCUUGACGGAGCAACGCCGCGUGAGUGAUGAAGGUCUUCGGAUCGUAAAACUCUGUUAUUAGGGAAGAACAAAUGUGUAAGUAACUAUGCACGUCUUGACGGUACCUAAUCAGAAAGCCACGGCUAACUACGUG